CAAUAACUAAUCUCACCGCUACAGUAACUAAUCUCACCGCCACCAUUGUUUUUAACCUCACCGGAGGUAAACACACCGCCCAUCCAAACUAGCCCUAAAGCAUGAAUCAAUAAGCCAGUGAAAUACAGGCCGCUAAGUCCGAUCAGGAGCCCAACGCCAGCCGAGCAUCAAAGGGGCUGGAAGAGGCCUUCAAAUUUAAGGAGGGAAAGGAGCUGAAAAAGUGAAAAAAAGCGGCAAAUUCUCCAACACUACCCUGUCAUCUUUCUCAAACUUAAUCAUCUGCUGCUUCAUCAUUUUCUCUCAUUAUCCUACAAAUUCAAAAAGAGAUCUGCUGUUUCGAUUAAAGAAAAAUGAAAACGCGGUUCGCUUUUUUUUUUAUUUCCAUUCAAAUUGUAAUCCGAUGCAGCUUUCCCGCGCUUUUAUCUCAUUUCUCCCCCAGGUUUGCUACUGUUUAAUUUAGCUAUUUUGAGGAAAGAAGCAUUUAACAAUUAUGAUGAA